AGCUUUGCUCGGUGGCAGUAUCGUAGCCAAUGAGGUUUAUCCGAGGCGCGAUUAUUGCUAAUUGAAGACUCAGAGGUUUACUCAUCUGCAGAAUAGGGACAUUAUAAAAAUGUUAUAUCAGAACAAUUGUAAUUAAG
ensembl:snRNA U4 U4 spliceosomal RNA